rnacentral:rRNA from 1 species
AACGAGCGAGAGAGAGCUUGCUUUCUCGAGCGAGUGGCGAACGGGUGAGUAACGCGUGAGGAACCUGCCUCAAAGAGGGGGACAACAGUUGGAAACGACUGCUAAUACCGCAUAAGCCCACGGCUCGGCAUCGAGCAGAGGGAAAAGGAGCAAUCCGCUUUGAGAUGGCCUCGCGUCCGAUUAGCUAGUUGGUGAGGUAACGGCCCACCAAGGCGACGAUCGGUAGCCGGACUGAGAGGUUGAACGGCCACAUUGGGACUGAGACACGGCCCAGACUCCUACGGGAGGCAGCAGUGGGGAAUAUUGCACAAUGGGGGAAACCCUGAUGCAGCGACGCCGCGUGGAGGAAGAAGGUCUUCGGAUUGUAAACUCCUGUUGUUGGGGAAGAUAAUGACGGUACCCAACAAGGAAGUGACGGCUAACUACGUGCCAGCAGCCGCGGUAAAACGUAGGUCACAAGCGUUGUCCGGAAUUACUGGGUGUAAAGGGAGCGCAGGCGGGAAGACAAGUUGGAAGUGAAAUCUAUGGGCUCAACCCAUAAACUGCUUUCAAAACUGUUUUUCUUGAGUAGUGCAGAGGUAGGCGGAAUUCCCGGUGUAGCGGUGGAAUGCGUAGAUAUCGGGAGGAACACCAGUGGCGAAGGCGGCCUACUGGGCACCAACUGACGCUGAGGCUCGAAAGUGUGGGUAGCAAACAGGAUUAGAUACCCUGGUAGUCCACACCGUAAACGAUGAUUACUAGGUGUUGGAGGAUUGACCCCUUCAGUGCCGCAGUUAACACAAUAAGUAAUCCACCUGGGGAGUACGACCGCAAGGUUGAAACUCAAAGGAA